GGGCCCUUAGCUCAGCUGGUAGAGCAACUGACUCUUAAUCAGUGGGUCGAAGGUUCGAAUCCUUUAGGGCCUACCA
rnacentral:tRNA from 1 species